AGAGGUGAGGUAAAAAAAAAAAAACACAUUGAAAGCGGGUAUUCAACCUACAAAGUUCAUUGUGAUAUGAGCUCUUUGUUCGGCUGGGUCUCCAACCAGCCUGCAUCCUUUACUUAAUCUCUAGUUUCUUUACAUGAACAUUUUAGUCUACUUCCUUUAUCUAUUUGAAUCCAUGAUUUGGUGAUUGUUGCUCAUUAUUGAAUAAAAUCUUUGCUUCGAUUUUUUUAUCACUGCUUGGCUUUCUAGCAAAAGAUUUUGAAGCUAAUGUAACUUUAUUUAGAAAAUUUUUCAUACUGAGAUUCUUGUAUUUAUGUUAUGGAUCUUGAUAAUUUUGGCAAUGGGUCUAAAGCAGAAUCUUGGUAGUUUGUUAACGUUCCUCAAAAUCUUAGUAGUUUUAGGAAUGGAGUCUCAAGUAGAAGCUCUUGGACAGUUAAUAACCGAUGAUCAUGAAGGAAAGGUAAGAGUUAUGUUUUUCCUCCAAAUUUAUUUCAUGCUUGAUAUUAUUGCUUGUCUGUUGAGCUUAAAAACAGAAAAUAUAGGUGCUAUUUCUUUUAAAGAGCUUUAAGAGGGGGCAAGUUUCUUGAUUCUUUCUAUUUGUUCUAAAAUUUUGGAUUAGAUUCAGUGUUGGAAUGCUAUGACUAUCCUGCAGUUAUGGUAGUCAUAGCUUAGUCGUUUAUGACUUCCAUUGAGUGAAACUUCUUAGGCAUCCUUUGGUAGUUUAUAUUUAUGCAUUAUAUGUCUAUAUGAAUUCUUUUGUAGUAUUGUAGUUUGUGGGUUAUUCAUGCAUUGUAGGUUAGGUUAAAUCUGUGGUAGAUGGUUGAGAGGACAUAACGAAAAAACAAUUGAAAGACUAUUUGGAAAACACUAUAUAAUGGCAACAAGUGUGUGUACACUUUUUUUUUUUUUUUUUUUUCUGGGGGGAGGGGAUAUUUACAAGUUUUAGUUUAUAUUUUAUAGUUUAAAAGUAAGUUCUUGCUCUUUUCUGAUAUACCAAUAAAAGUUGUUUAGAUCUAACAAAAUUUUAAUUUUGCCAUGUAACACUCGUGAGUUUUGGUAAUUUGUUGAUUACCCUUGUUUUAGAGUUAAAUUAUCAUCUCCACUUCUUCUUUUGUGACUUAUUAUUAUAGAUUUAAAAAAGAAAAAGUCGCUGAGGUUCGUCGUUCUUUGAACUCGAUCUCAGCUCAGAUCUGUUUCAAUCUUCGAGCUCUGUCUCAGAUCCAUUCAAUAUUUGAUUUCCUUAUUGCUUUCUAUUCUUUGCACUUUUACUUUUUUGUCUUGAAAUCAUUUGCUAAACUAGGUUAGUUUUCAUUUGUAGAUCUAUAAAAUGUCAACACAAAAUUGAGGUAUGUAGAAAUUAGAAUAGCUACCAGGUGGAGGCUUUGUAGGUGUAUUUGGGGCGUUCGAUAGUCAGCAAGGAAGUGGUGGUUUCUCUGCUUUUGGUGUUGCCGUUGGUGGAGUUGGAGGAUUUGGAAUACCUCCUAAGCAUUUCACUCAGAUUAGAAAAUAGUUUUAUGUUGACUAUUGAUAGAAAGAUGCUGGGAGAGAACAUUUUGAAAAAAUAUGCAAGGUCGGAAGAUUCAGUGAAGAUAAGGGUACUGGUGGAAGGUUGGGUUUUGGCAUUGGAGCUAGUAGCUAUAGCAGAGGAGCAGAAGCUCAAACUUUACUUGGAAAGUAUCGUUUUACACGCAAUUCAAUUAAUUUUUAGUGGAAUGAGUUACGAGGUUGAUUGAAGAGAUUGUUAACCUUUGUUUUUUUCAUUCUUUUAGCUUAUGAGAAUAUUAUAAAUUCAAGUUUGU